GACGAACGCUGGCGGCGUGCUUAACACAUGCAAGUCGAACGGAAAGGCCCUGCUUUUGUGGGGUGCUCGAGUGGCGAACGGGUGAGUAACACGCGAGUAACCUGCCCUUGACUUUGGGAUAACUUCUCGAAACUGGGGCUAAUAUCGGAUAGGAGCUCCUGCUGCAUGGUGGGGGUUGGAAAGUUUCGGCGGUGGGGGCUGGACUCGCGGCUUAUCCGCUUGUUGGUGGGGUAGUGGCUUACCAAGGCUUUGACGGGUAGCCGGCCUGAGAGGGUGACCGGCGACAUUGGGACUGCGGGACGGCGCAGACGCCUACGGGAGGCAGCAGGGGGGAAUAUGGCGCAAUGGGCGGAAGCCUGAGGCAGCAACGCCGCGUGCGGGAUGACGGCCUUCGGGGUGUAAACCGCUUUCGCCGGUGACGAAGCGGGAGUGACGGUAAUGGGUAAAGAAGCACCGGCUAACUACGUG
rnacentral:rRNA from 1 species